rnacentral:lncRNA from 1 species
CGGGGAGGGGUGGGGAGGGAAGAGGGGAGGAGGCGGGCCCAGCGAGCCGCCGGAAGGGGCGGGCCCGGCGGCGUGACUGACAGCCCCCGAACAGGGGCCGGGGGCCGCGAGGCCCGGGUUCGGAAAAAGAGCUCCGAAGACGCGCGCUUAGGUUCGGCAGGGCUAAGGUCACCGAGAGUCCUCUCGGAGCUUUCUUUUCAUAUUUUGAAGUAACUUUUUUCCAGAUCCCCAACAUUUUCAGAGGAGCUUCAGAAACAUAAAAGCCAGUAAGUUCAUCAGCUUCUAAGGAAUCAGCUACAGAGAUGGCAGAACUGAAUGAUGCAUAAAUAAGUGGAUCUAAAAUGGAGAUUUAUCUGAGCAGGCAUUCUCACUGCUGAGAGUAAACUAAGGAAGUAUCCAGUGAAGAUGAGCCCUGAGUUAACAUCUGCUGCCAAUCCUCCUCUUUUUGCUGAGGAAGACUGGCCCUGAGCUAACAUCCGUGCCCAUCUUCCUCUACUUUAUAUGUGAGACGCCUGCCACAGCAUGGCUUGCCAAGCGGUCAUCUGCAUUUCCGUAUGAAUUUUAGAAUCAAGUUCUACAGAAAGACUUCUUGGGAUUUGGAUUGGUAUUCUAUUCAGUCUGUAGAUUAAUCUCGUGAGAACUGAUGUCUUAAUAGUAUAGAGUCUUCUGACCCAAUGAAAAAGAUAUAUCUCACCUUUUAUUUAGGUCUUCUUUAAUUUCUCUAAGUAAUGACUUUUAGUUUUUGGUAUGUAGGUCUUUCACAUCUUUUGUCAGAUUUACCCCUAAGUAUAGUGUAAUUCUGAUGAUAUUGUAAAUAAUAUUGUUUUUAAAUUCCUUUUGUUCAUUGCUAGUGCACAGAAAAGUAAUUGAUUUUUUAUGUCGAUCUUAUAUCCUGAUACCUUGUUGAAGCCACUUAUUAGUUCUAGUAGCUUCUUGGUCAAUUCUAGAUUUUCUCUGUAGAUGAUCAUGCCUACUGUGAAUAAAGACAGUUUUACUUCCACCUGUUCAAAAAGCAAAAGGCUUCCUCUCCUAACAUCACCCCACCCCACUCAGGUUUCAGAGAUAAGUCCUGUUUACAAUGCUUAGUUUUAGUUCCUCUGUCAAUCACAGUAUUUAUAUGGAUCUGUAGCCCAAAUUUAAAUGGUGUCUAUUGACACUCUACAAUAAAAGAUGAAAAAAUUAUACUAUUUUCCCUUCUUUCCUCCUGUUUUUCUCUCUCUGACUCCCAUUUUUCAGAUUACAUUAUAGUUUUACACUUUCUAGAUUUAUAACAAUUAUUUCCAUUUCUGAUCAUGUGGUGAGUUAGGUAAGCUGAAUAAACCUCCUCAGCAAACACCUAAACAUUCUGGAUAAAGCAUUUUAAAGCAGCUUAUUAAAUGCAUUCCCAAGCUGGCAAGAAAGUAAAGGAAAUUCCCAAAGACCUUGAGAGGAACAAAAGCCCAAAUCAAAAAAAGUAAACCAGUGCUGAAGAGAGAAAUCUACCAUUCCUUAAUAAGCUAGAAUUUCAAUUUUAAUGGUCUCUUGGAGACUGGAGACAAAGCCUUGGACCUCAUGAGGUGAAAAGUUAUAAUCUUAAACCCCUCCACAAAGCCAAGACCUGAAGGCCACAACCCUCAAUGAAAAUGUGAGUUAGGUAGAAGAAACUGAACAGUCGUAUAAGGGAAGGACAAAGAAGACAUGGGGGACUGGAGGUCUUGGAAAAAAGAGGGUCCUGUACAAGAUCCUUCCCAGGGUCAAUUAAAACCUCCUUCACUUUUAUUUAUGUAGUCAUCAUUUUCAUUGACUGUUGGUAAGUGGAGUUUCCUCUUAAUAUCUUUUGUACUCUGCCAUUCAUCUAAGUCUCUGAAUACGUUUUUCCUAGGGUUGUUGGAUAAUGAUGAAUUUAUGAACAGAAGAAGGAAUGGUAGGUCUCCGCACUCUCAAGCCUAGCUUUCAGCUAAUCCACAGUCAAUGUCUCUGGGUGUCCUGAGCUUAAGGUAGAUCAAAAUGAAUUUGAAUUCAGUUUUUAAAAUGUUUUUGUGUUUGCUAAAGGAAUUAGUAUGCCAUUGCUUGAUAUUUUCUUUUUUGCUAGAUUUAAAUCUGAGAUUAUGACACUGAGAAAAAUUUUGGAAAACUCUAUGUUUUCUUUAAAAAUUUUUAAAACCUCACUUUAUAUACUUUCCUCUGCAUGAAAAAAAGGAGAAUAAGUAACACUUUGAUAAAAUACAUUAGCAACAAUGAAUUUGUGUCAAAAACUAGGAAGUAAGGGUAUAGAAAUUAAAAUGCAAAACAAAAUUUUAAAACUAUAAUUUUUUUUUAAAAAAUCACCAAUCUUGUGCUCCUUUGAAAUGUCAUUCCUUUAUGUCCACAGUUUGUAAUCCUUUUAAUCUUACAACUCCCCACAAAUUGAUUUAUUCAUUUCAUAAAUUUUUCUCCACAGAAAAUAUGAAAAGGUUUUUUACUUCUAAUUUCCUAUAGUGCAGUAGGUUUUUUCCUUCAAGGGUGUGUGUAUUUUGUGAAUUCUACGUGGGUUUGAAAUGAACUUGGAGGCUAUAUAAUUAGGCUUUUUUUUCUUUUCCAGUUGUGAAGUAUGCAAAUAGAAAUUUUUAAAGGAAGAAAAGAGGUUAUCAUGUUCGUCAAACAUACUUUACUUCUCACAUUAAUGUGAUACUACUGUUAGACUACCCUAACUUUAGCUUUUCACUAAUGGCCUCCAAGAUUAUUUGAAGUCUGCUGCACUUCCUAUUAAGAAAUUGCAUACUAUCUAUGCAACUUUCUUGUGGUGAUCUAGCGUCACAAGAGUUUACUCAACUUACUUUGAAUUUGGGUUUUAGAACUAGCUUUGUUACAGUGUUAUUUUGAGGAAAUCACUUCAUCUCUCUGGGC